rnacentral:rRNA from 1 species
CUACGGGGGGCAGCAGUGAGGAAUAUUGCACAAUGGGGGGAACCCUGAUGCAGCAACGCCGCGUGGAGGAUGACGCAUUUCGGUGUGUAAACUCCUUUUAUAUGUCAAGAAAAUGACGGUAGCAUAUGAAUAAGCACCGGCUAACUCCGUGCCAGCAGCCGCGGUAAUACGGAGGGUGCAAGCGUUACUCGGAAUCACUGGGCGUAAAGGACGCGUAGGCGGGUUGGAAAGUCAGGUGUGAAAUCCUACAGCUUAACUGUAGAACUGCACUUGAAACUUCUAAUCUAGAGUAUGGGAGGGGAGAUGGAAUUAGUGGUGUAGGGGUAAAAUCCGUAGAUAUCACUAGGAAUACCCAAAGCGAAGGCGAUCUCCUGGAACAUUACUGACGCUAAGGCGUGAAAGCGUGGGGAGCAAACAGGAUUAGAUACCCCAGUAGUC